UACGUAGGGGGCAAGCGUUGUCCGGAUUCAUUGGGCGUAAAGAGCGUGUAGGCGGCCAGGUAGGUCGGUUGUGAAAACUGGAGGCUCAACCUUCAGAGGUCGACCGAAACCAUCUGGCUAGAGUCCGGGAGAGGAGAGUGGAAUUCCUGGUGUAGCGGUGAAAUGCGCAGAUAUCAGGAGGAACACCGGCGGUGUAGACGGCUUUCUGGUCUGUAACUGACGCUGAGGCGCGAAAGCGUGGGGAGCAAACAGG
rnacentral:rRNA from 1 species